rnacentral:rRNA from 1 species
AAUCAACGCUGGCGGCGUGCCUCAGACAUGCAAGUCGAACGAUUAAAGCUCUCUUCGGAGAGUGCAUAGAGUGGCGCACGGGUGAGUAACACGUAAGUAAUCUACCUUCGAGUGGGGAAUAACGUCCGGAAACGGACGCUAAUACCGCAUAAUGCAGCGGCAUCGCAAGAUGACAGUUGUUAAAGAUUUACCGCCUGAAGAGGAGCUUGCGGCAGAUUAGCUAGUUGGUAAGGUAAUGGCUUACCAAGGCUACGAUCUGUAACCGGUCUAAGAGGACGGUCGGUCACACUGACACUGAAUAACGGGUCAGACUCCUACGGGAGGCAGCAGUCGGGAAUUUUGGGCAAUGGGCGAAAGCCUGACCCAG